rnacentral:rRNA from 1 species
UACAGAGGUCUCAAGCGUUGUCCGGAUUUACUGGGCGUAAAGAGCGCGCAGGCGGUCGUUCAAGUCGCGUGUGAAAGCCCCCGGCUCAACUGGGGAGGGUCACGCGAUACUGAUCGACUGGAAGGCAGGAGAGGGUAGUGGAAUUCCCGGUGUAGUGGUGAAAUGCGUAGAUAUCGGGAGGAACACCAGUGGCGAAGGCGGGUCUCUGGACAGUUCCUGACACUGAGGCACGAAGGCCAGGGGAGCAAACGGG